UACGGAGGGUGCGAGCGUUGUUCGGAAUCAUUGGGCGUAAAGCGCGCGCAGGCGGUCUGGGAAGUCUAUGGGUGAAAUGCCGGGGCUCAACUCCGUGCAUGCCCAGGAUACUCUCAGGCUAGAGACAUGUAGAGGCUGGCGGAAUUCCGGGUGUAGCGGUGGAAUGCGUAGAGAUCCGGAAGAACACCAGAGGCGAAGGCGGCCAGCUGGGCAUGAUCUGACGCUGAGGCGCGAAAGCGUGGGGAGCGAACAGG
rnacentral:rRNA from 1 species